AGCGGGAAGUUCAACUAAUGAGUAACGAUAUCCUCAUCAAAUCAUCCGAAGUCAUUGAGAUAUAGGCCUAUAGUUUUCCCCAAGAGAAGCGAUUGAUUAUAUGUGAUUAAUGUGUUCCAGUACUGCAGUAGAUUCUAAUGAUAUUCCCGUGAACCGAUCGCGAGCAAGCAAGAAACCAGCCAGAUACAGCGAUGAAAAUUUGAAGAAUAUGCACUCGUCAUGUUCACAGUCACACUGGAUAAGGUGAAGAGCUAGUGUAGAGGUUGGUUUUGAGCAUCAAAAUUUGGACGGUGGCCGGAGGAUGAGGAUCGAUGGAUGGGAGGCCUACGAUGAGGCUAACAAGAAGUGGUAGCUUGGCCUAAGCUUGAAAUGACCCAAUAUGCACUCUUCGUGUUCAGUCACACUGGAUAAUGUGAAGAGGGUGGUUUUGAGCAGCGAGGUUCGGCAGGUGGCAGGAGGAUGAAGAUCGAUGGAUAGGAGGUGUACGAUGAGGCUACAAAGAAGUGGUACUCUGUUGCCUUGCUUGAAAGGACCCCAAUUCUUUGCGAGAAGAUCGAAGGGGGCCGGACACAAAUCAGCUGAAUUGGCAGGCCCUGAGAGUAAAGAUGGAGGGAAUCAAAUAUAAGGCUAAAAACAUGUUAAUCUUCUUCAGAACGCACAAAGUAGAUUACGACCAAACUUGGCAGGAGUCAUCCCUUAAAAGUAAGGGGAUCUUAAUUUGUUCAAGUGGGGGGUGGUGCACCAGGGGGGGGGGGGGAGGGCAGGAAAACAAAAAAAGCCAAAUCAACAUCAUUGUCUUCAUGAAAAAGCAUAAUUGGUAGAUUAUUGUGUGGGAAGGGUAUCUCAAUUUACAGAAAAAAUGAUCAAAGUGCCCAGCUUGCAAAGCUGCAUGCUCAGGUAAGCACAAGACCCACAGGUCUCUAGUCUAUUACUCUUUUGCUUUUCAUCUUUAAGUGUUUGUGUAUUGGAGGGGGGGGGUAAAGUAUAGUGUCCAUCAAUGUUAUAUAUUGUUUUUUGAUUAUCAACUGCCAAACAAUAGCUGCCUUCUGCAUCAGUGUGUUAAUAGGUGUACUUUUCAUAUAUUUAAUUAUAUUCAGGGCAAAUAUUAACCUUGCCUUUCAAUAGCCAUAUUACUUGUAUAGUGAUGCAUCGAUAUAUGCACAAUAUUGGAUUUUUUGUUGUUGUAUGUGCCAAACAGGUUGGCAGAAUGUCAUGUUUGGUAUUUAUGAUACAUUUUUAUGUAUAUUUAUUUAAUUUAACAGAAACCUAUCUAUCACAUACAGUCAACUCUCGGCUGCCUAAGUCGAAUUUGCAUAAGAUGAAUGUCGAAGGUGUUAUGUUAGUCUUUUCUUUUUAUUUUCCAUUGUUUUGACCUUGCAUUAGUCGGAUCUGGACACUUUUAACGUAAAAAGAAUAUUUGUAUACCACUGUUUUUAGAAUUCUCACCCAAGAUUCCAGCAUUAGUACUAAUUAGUACCAGCGGUGACUGAUUUCAUAACCCACUGAUUGAGCCCAUGAAAAUUAUACAAAUUUCAUUUAUCUAUGCGCCCAAUACUUUGUGGUCUAAUAAUUAUUUUCCUGGCUGUAUUACUGUAACUAUUAUUUGCCGAAGAUAAACCGUUUUUUUUUAACAUGAACUAUGUGCUACAAUUCCCUUGCCUUUCAGUUUAUUAGGAUGCACCUUUUUUUUUUCUACAUUUGCCUUUUUUUAUUUUUUUAUACCGGUAUAUAUAUAUUUUUUAAAUAUAUUUUUUAUUUCUAGGAUAAAACAAUAUCUCGACAUCAGCCAAAUUUUCAGGCAUCUUCUUGUGUAGGGUCCAUGCUUUUUCCAUGAUCAGCUGUACAAAUUCAUUGAUGUAUAUACCAUUAAAUUCAUGUUCCAGAUCGUACACUGUAAAUA